ACAUCAUGUGUGAGAUUCUGACCCAGUUCAGACCGGAUCAGUACUUUAUUAUUAGUAUGACUGCAGUUAUCAAAAUAAAGGACCUGCGCGCUGUGUCCGGGUGUCAGCAGUUACUCUGUGGGCUGGGGGUGAAACCCUACCAAAAUAAAAGCCUGGAUGUGGAUGGGGGCUGUAUGAGAUCUGAUGAAGACGAACGGCAGCUGGAGAGAAAACGUGAUGCACCAGCUCAGUGUUUUAAACAGGUUUAUAUCCUUCAGCAUCUCAGGGAGGAGGGCUGACGAUCUGCCUCGAGUGAUGUCACCAGAGUAACUAGUAACUACAGGUUUCCCAAGGGGACGCUACUGAGAAGCUGGCUCACCAAGUCGCGGCCCAGGUUGCUGCUGCUGAUCGCAGGGUUGAAGAGGCCUCAGGUGACCCUCAUGAGGAGGAAAAGGAUGAAGCGCACAAAAGUAGCAAAGGCCACGUAAGCGAACCUGCAGCCGAAUGCCCCACUUCACCUGAGUCGUUAACGGCGAGGAUCUGCUCGUUAGAAAUGGAAGACCAAGAAAAGGAAGACCUGUGUGUUGGAUCUUUGCCCCAGCAACGAACUAAAAUCCGGGAACCACAAAACAGAGUGAAGCCAGAGGAUGAACCACAGAGAUUGAGACCUCCAGACUAAUCCGGAUUACACCAAGACCUGGACUAACAGCUUCACCCACUUUCUUCGAAUUUCCAUCUGUUUUGGCUCAUUAGACUGUAAUAACCAUGGCUUGUAUCAUUCCUCACCAAAGACAAACUGUUGCUGGUAUCAAACCCGGCUGUUCCAGUGUUCUUAGUUCAGACUCUUUCAGGUUUCCAGGUCCGUGUGUUUGAGUCUCAGAAGAAUCCAAAGCAGCUGCUGAUUAAACUCUGACGGGACGCCAACUCCUGCCUCCCAUUCUUCUGUCAGAUUAAAACACAACUAGUAGCUCAUUUCCACACAUGACACACACACCAGAGAUGGGCGGUUACAACAUUCAAGCCUCGAUGAUAUGGAAACAUCAAGAAUCAGACACUAAAAAACAAAAAGAUAUGAAUCAAACAAACAUCGUUCAAACACAAAGGCUUGAUCAUGUGUGCUGUCGCUGCACCAGAGGAACUUGAAGUCUGAGACAUACUUGCAGACGGGAGCUUCUGGGUUUUAGACAAACUUUGUUUUCUUUUUCUUCAUUUCAUUUCUCAUAAAGUGGGUAAAAUAAGUUUUGUUUCAAAAUGCUUCACUUGUGUCGUGUUUGUCUGUGAUUGUAGCCACACCACUGGCUCAAACGACGGUCGUCUGGAGACGUCUGGAAACUCCACUGACAGAUCUGACAGUUAAUUUAACAGCUCACAUCAGAAUCAUUUUAUAACUUUACAGUAGGCCAACUUUAGCUAAGUUUAGCUAACUUUAGCUAACUUAGAGCUGAUUGCUCUGGCUGUGGUGCUUUUCUUCCCAAGGACCUAAAAUUCCUCCAGAUUCUCACACUUUGAGUCAUUCGUGUGUGUCGCAGUAGAUGUUUGGCAGUUCGAUGGUGGUCAACAAAAAAAAAAAAAAAAACACAUCCAAAAUGUUAAAUCUAACAAGGUAACACUUUAUAUUAAGUUCUCUACUUCUAGUCAUUCAACACUGACAAAGAGGACCAAAAUUUAAAGAUUAAACAAAUCUGAUCUGUUUUUGAACCUUCUUAGAGAUGCUCAUCAAGGAAACCUAAUCUUUGUUAACCACAUCAACUUUAUGUAAAAAAGUUAAAUAAACAACUAACUUAAUAUAAAGUGACACCAAAUGUGUGUAGGAGGAGAGGUAAAGUAAAAUCACCAACAUGUCAGAAGGUUCUGGAUCUCUUUACUCUCGUGGUGUAUUCAGAUUUCACUUAGCUUUAUUUCUGCUUUACUUUGAACUGUUCGGAGCGGCCAUGUUGCUGUGUUUUGUUUUGAAGUCCCUCCUACGACAUAAGACUCUGAAAAACUAAAUCAAACUUGGGGACUUACUUAAGUCUACAGGUACCUCGAUAGCUAGUAAAGUAUUUGUUUCUCACUGCAGCUGUUUGCAGGUUAUAGCUAAAUGCUAAUGCUACUGACUUCCCUUUAUAACAACUCACACAAACUAAACCCAAGUAAUCUGACUCCAGUGAAACUAAAACUGUGAGAUGUAUAAAAGUUUGGAUAUUACCAUGUGUUGCUAAUAAGAAUGAACACAAUUUAAAUCAUUUUGAAUAAGCCCGUAAACUAAUCCACAACUGUUCAACUAAUUUUAUUUUUUUAAUUAAUUAAUUAUUAUUCACAUUAUCGCUGCAUAUUAUAACUCACUCAACACUGCUAGCCAGUUUUCUCCAUUUUGCGCGAACAUACACUGAGCUGUCGUACGAGGCAAAACCACUGUUAAAGUUGUACACUACAGAUUACAACUAAAUUUGAUGUUAAUAAUUAACUAACAAUUAUUAUAAUGAAUUCCAAGUAAAAAGUGACCAAAGCUGUCCGAAGGUGGACCUGGUGAGUUCACUGGCCAGAGCUAGCCAGGUAGCUUACUAAUUAGCAGCUGAGGUUGAGGAUAUUAAUACAUAUAUAUAAUAUUUUUUUAAUGUAACGUGUGGUAGUGAGGUCAUCAGUCAGUAGCUGUAGAGUUACUGAUCAAAGGAAAUCUGUGUGGGAGGAAUGAGCAGGCAACAGCCAUCAAGCUAAUGACGCUAACCAUUUCUUUCUGUCCAUAUUAGCUUAGUAAAAGACAGCUAACUGGCUAAACUAUGCUACCAGAUGCUAAUCGUAGGCUGACAUCUCGACAGGUGAAGACUCUUCCGGAGGCUUCUUGUUAACGUUGUUUUGUGUUUCAUGUCAGCUGCGUGAUUCUAAUUCUUCAGUUCAAACUGUCUGCUACUCGCUUUCCAGCGUUCAUGUGAACAAAAGGGGACAUUUGAGUAACGCCGGUGAUCAUUUCUGCUUUCUGCACUGCUUUAUGUGUUGAGGUGAUUCUGAUUGUGAUGGAAAUUUAAAAAAACAAACAUUAAACUGGCCGGCUGUACAUAGCUUAGCUUAGCUUAGCAUCGCAGCAUGUCACGACUUUGUUAAGCAGAAACUCAACUAGCUGCCAGGUAGCUGAUGCUUUCUGAAUUUCAUGCUUUGCUGAACAUAACUGAACCUUUGAGCAAACACUGACAGACUAUGAUGUGACUGUCCGCUGAAUCAUGACUUUGUAUUAUAGUUUUAUGACAACUGCAGUGAAAUAAAGCAGCAUUUACAUAUGGUCUGAUGAUAUGAUGAAAAUGCUUCUUCAUGAUUUGACCAAGUGCAUUUAGACAUGAUGAAUUCACAUUUUCACCUUUUUUUUUAAUCAUGUAUUUAUUGUCAUUAUUCCUCUAAACCCAACAACAUUUUAAAGAUAUUAAACUGUCACAACUAGAAAUCUCCUCCAGGAUCUGUGUGGUGACGUCAUCCGACUGGUUAUAAAGUAAGUAAGUCACAUAUAAAGUGUUACUUCAUUCUGUGACUGUAUAUGAAACAUCUUUCUGACAGUAAAGAAUAAAAUGUGGCUGCAGUCACAGCAGCUGCUCAUCAACCUGCCCAGCAACAGCGGGGCCGGACCGACCAUUAGGCAGAGGCUGGAGACCGCCUGAAGCCUAAAACCACCAAGGGCCUCAUUAAAAAAGCCUCGUUAAUUAACACUUCAAUCAUUAAUUAUGUUUUUGUAAAAACAAUGCGCUAAAAUGGCCCCAGAAUGCAUAAUCCAGUUUGGAGUGUAUCGGAGACUCCCCCUUCAGUUGGACUAUUCCAUCUUACUGCGCAUGUGCAGACAUGAUUCAGGAAAUCAGCAGCCAAACAAAGUUAAUGGCGCGCGGAGCACAAACGAGCACGAAGCGAAGUUUCCCAGCGGGACAGAACCACCGAGGCAGCGGGAGGAGGGCAGGCGGGCGGGUUGGGUCAGAACCGCAUACAGUGACGAACUUAACUGAACAACCGUGAGGACGCGGCGGCUCGUAUGUUAGCAUUAGCAUUGCUAACAGCGAGCUGCUGGCCCAGGUGGAGGUGAAGAGUGAGUACUGAGGAGGGGAUGGACCCGGAGGAGUAGACUGACUCCAUCGAUUCAUUUAAAAUGACUUAGUAAAAAUGUCUUGUGAGUUUCUUCUCACACCAGAAGCACAACAUGAUCUACGGAAGCCCCGAGGAGGAACUGCACAGUCCAUGACAAGGAAAACCAGCCUGUCCAGGAGUCUACCAACACACUGUCCCGUGUGAGGCUGAGGAGGUCUCCCAGUAAACAGAUCCAGGAACAGGCCACCAUGAUCAGAGUGCACACAUACCUUCACCUGCCAUAUAAAGAAUGUAGUCAUCAGGACAUUCCCCAGUUCUUAUUAUAUUUAUCAGUCUGCCAGUCUCAAAACUCAAAAUCCACACUUAUGACCUCACGCAGCUCCGGCUCCGAGACCGACGGCCGGAAGUUCUGCAGCGCCGCAGAGAAGUCGUCAGCAGAGAGGAGGACGGGGGAAUCCUCCGAGUCCACACCUGCGACACAGAGAGACAGUUUAACGUCCAUCAUGACUCACCGUCCUCUAUCAGAGCGAUCUUCCUCUUGAUGGCGGCCGUCAUGGCGUCUGAACAGAGAGCGUACAGGUCGGCGCCGGUCACGUGAGCGGGGCAGCGAUCCACCACCUGCUGCAGGUCGACGGCCGGGUCCAGCUGGAACCUGCAGACGAGACAGAACCCACAUGUUGAAGAGUUUCUGUCUGUUAACGGAUAAUAAAUAAAUAACGACCGGAUGA